AUUUUUGCAAUGUAUGAAACUGGAGCAAUGAGCUGUUAAUGAAAUAGUUUGCUGAGGACUGCAUUUCAUAUUUGAAACACGAUCUUAUCAGUGGCAUUGUGAAAGCUACCGGAAGUGCUACCAUCUACGCUAUUUCUCUUGACGCUGGUGUCAGGUAACAGCGAUGUUAACAAUAAUGUCUACAACAGCUACUCGGAAUCGACCUAAACCGCCAGAGCAGAUGUGGAACGACAACAAUCCCAUCAUGUUGUUUUUUUGCACUAUAGAGAGCCCACUGCAUCUCUGUCUGGACUGGAGCCUGCAGUGCCUCAGACUGGAAGUAUCUGCAGAGAGUGGUGAGGACGGGGGAAAAAAAUCAUCAGGACUCCUCUUCCUCCUAUGAAGGAGAUCGCAAAAAGCCGCUGCCUGACCAGGACUCAGAAAAUCUGCAGACUCCGCCCACCCCCACCAAGGACUGGUUUCACUGCUGGACUCCGGAAAGAGAUUCCGUAGCAGAACCUCCAGGUUCUGUAAACGCUUCUUCCCUCAGGCCAUAAGACUCUUGAAGGCAUCAGAAUAAUACCCUUAAUUCCUCCCAAAAACAGAUUAACUCCAUCCAUCCAUUUUCUAAAGCUUAUUCCCUUUUGGGGUCGCUGGCGCCUAUCUCAGCUACAAUUGGGCGGAAGGCGGGGUACAUCCUGGACAAGUCGCCACCUCAUCGCAGGGCCAACACAGAUAGACAGACAACAUUCACACUCACAUUCACAGAUUAACUCGCUGGACUAUAAAAAAUAUAAAGAUAACAUACAUCCGUAAACGUGGAUGCGUAUGCAAAAGUGGAAUAUAUUAUCUGUACAGUAAAUCUAUUUAUAUCUGCACCUCAUUGCUCUUUUAUCCUGCACUAAAACAAGCUAAUGCAACAAAAUUUUGUUCUUAUCUGUACUGUAAAGUUCAAAUUUGAAUGACAAUAAAGGAAGUCUAAGUCUAAAACCAAAAAAAAAAAACCCAAAAA